rnacentral:lncRNA from 1 species
AUCACCUAGCAUCCAAGCAUUUUUUAUUUGUUAAUAUUUGAAAUUUUUAAAAAUUUUUAUGUGUUGAUAUUCAAACUUUUUAAAAACACCUUAUAAUUUUUUUACCAAUCAUUUUCACUGUCACGUCUAUAUCACACGAAUAAUUUGAAUUUGAAAUUAAAAUUAAAAUUCAAAAUUUAAAUUCAAAAUUUUUAAUCUAAAUUUAAAGUUUCAAAUUAAAAUUACAAGUGGAUUUCAAAUCUAAAUUUGAAUUUGAAUAUUUUUAAUUUGAAUUUCAAAAUGAAAGAUUGACAUUAAUUCUAAAACUAAUUCAAAAUCUAGAUUUAAAAGAAAAAUUAAGUACAAAAUCUCAAUUUGAAAUUGAAAUUGAAAUUGAAUUUAAAUUUAAAAUUGGAAUCCAAAAUCAGAACAUAAAUUAAUUUAAAUCCAAAAUUAAGUUUAAUUUAAAAUUCAGGUUUAAAAUUAUAAUUUAAAUUUGAGCGAAUCUAAGAUCAAAAUUUAAAUUUGACAUUUGAAUUGAAAAAAUCUAAAUGCGGAUUUUGAAACUCUUUAGGGAUAAAAUUGGUAUUUUCAAACUUAGCUAGCAUUAAACUAGUCCGAACUAAGAUUAGGGUGACGCUUAGUGCCGUGAGAUAAUGAAAGGAAUAUUUAUGCUCAAAAGGUCAUAGCUGUGGAAAGAUACUUAUAAGGUGAACUUUUCCGGAAGAGUGGUCACAAUUCAAUUGUGCGCUCGAGACUGAAUAGUUAGGGCCAUAUGAGCAUGCACUAGUCAUCCGGCAUUAAAUAGUUAGGGCAUUGGCAAUAGCUCGGGACCGAAUAGCUACAGUUGGUGGCUCAGUACCAAAUGGUUAGAGCAAGAAUUGAGUUUUUUUUUUUCUUCGAGAGACAGGUAGUAGACUAGCUGCUUCAUGUAUUUCAUUUAAAAAUAAACUUAGCUGAAAAUGUGAAUCAACUAGCAUUCGAAUUUGGGAUCUCGGAUAUUAAUCAUCAAGUUCUUUGCCACUUGCUUUAUGGACGGUCGGUAGCAAUAAUUGAGUUAAGACUGAUGAGCUAUUGGUUCUAUUGAUGCUUAACUGUACUUGUUUGUUUUUCAUUGGAUACAGUCACCUUAAGUGUUAGUUGUAAAAUUAUUUUCUAUUUUUUAGGCUUAUUCAUAAUUUUUUUUAGUUUAUAUUACAGAUGUUGCUAUGUAGAUUUGUUGGUGCAACUCAUCCCUGUUAGCUUACUGUAUCUACUAAAAAACUUUAGUAAAUUUCUCACCCAACAUUUUUUCAAGGGGAUAAUUUCAUAGAUGCCCUUCUAGGGACUAUUAAUUUCAUCAAUACCCUUCCAAAAUUGAUAAUAUCACAAAUACCCUCCAAAAUGUGAAAAAUUAUCAUAAAUACCCUCCACUAGUAGAGAUAAUUUCAAAACAAUUUUUGUAAAUCUAAAUUUGAGUAUUUAAUAUAUAAAUAAUAAAUUAAAUUAUCAAUAUAUAUUAAUUAAUAAAAAAUAUAUAAAAAUUGUAUUUUAAAUAUAAUAUGUUUUUAUCUGAUUUUGGCUUUGUUUUUAGUUUUGGGUUUCCGUUCAGGUUCAGCUUAAAUAUAGACCAAAAUUAUAAUUGAAUUUACAUACGAUGGAAUUUUAUUUUUGGGUACCUAUAACUAAAACUAUCCUUAUUCAGCAUUGAUUAAACUUAUCCUAUUU